rnacentral:lncRNA from 1 species
ACGGCCGUGCAGAGAGUGUGAGGGUCUGUGGGGAGAACCGGUGGGAGCAGUUCACUCUGCAGGGACCAGCUGCUGAAACUGUGACAGACUUCACGGUGCAGCUUCAAUCACACUUUCAGCGCGAUCACCCCUGAGGAGCUGGGGUCAAAGGGUGUUUGACUACCAGUGUGUCCCCUCCUCCGUCCCGGUGGAUCCCACUGCUGUGAAACGGUCCCGUCCUUCAUCCUCCUCCUCCUCUUCCUCCUCCACAGCGGCGCUGAGGGUGAAGCGCAGCAGAGCGUCCGGCAGGCGCAACAGCACGCACGGCCCGUCCUCCAGGAGCAGCCACGCCAAAUUGAAGAUGGCGGAGCUUCUUGCCAUAAAGAGGGAGCUGACGGUGAUCAAGGUUCAGAUCGACAGCCUGUUGGACUGUGUGGACAAGAUGGACAGACAGAGGAAGGACUGCUCAGAACAUGCUCUGAGCAGGGAGCCCAGUGUGUCGGACUCUCCUCACCGAGGUUCAGUCAGCAGCCUGGAGAGAGAAAGUCCUGAGCCAGGAGAGGCCAGCGAGGACGAGCCGCUGCACUACCAGCACUACUACCCCCACAGCUACCCCCACAGGCAGAUAAAGCAGCAUCAGUCUGAUCUGGAGGACGACCUGUGA